rnacentral:rRNA from 1 species
AGGAAAAGAAACUAACAAGGAUUCCCCUAGUAACGGCGAGUGAAGCGGGAUGAGCUCAAAUUUGUAAUCUGGUGGACUCAGUUCAUCCGAGUUGUAAUCUAUAGAAAAGUUUUCCGCGUCGGACCGUGUCUAAGUCCCUUGGAACAGGGUGUCAGAGAGGGUGAGAAUCCCGUGCUUGAUACGACCACCGAUGCUAUGUGAUACUUUUUCAACGAGUCGAGUUGUUUGGGAAUGCAGCUCAAAAUGGGUGGUAAAUUCCAUCUAAAGCUAAAUAUUGGCGAGAGACCGAUAGCGAACAAGUACCGUGAGGGAAAGAUGAAAAGCACUUUGGAAAGAGAGUUAAACAGUACGUGAAAUUGUUAAAAGGGAAACGAUUGAAGUCAGUCGUGCUCUCUGAGAUUCAGCCAGUUAUUCUGGUGUAUUUCUCAGUGAGCGGGUCAACAUCAGUUUAGAUCGCUGGAUAAGGUCAUUAGGAAUGUGGCUCCCUCGGGAGUGUUAUAGCCUAGUGUCGCAUACAGUGGUUUAGACUGAGGAACGCAGCUCGCCUUUAUGGCCGGGGUUCGCCCACGUCCGAGCUUAGGAUGUUGACAUAAUGGCUUUAAACGACCCGU